rnacentral:rRNA from 1 species
AGAGUUUGAUCAUGGCUCAGAACGAACGCUGGCGGCGUGGAUAAGACAUGCAAGUCGAACGCUGAUUUCAGGGUAGCAAUAUUCUGGAGUCGGAGUGGCGCAAGGGUGCGUAACACGUGGGUAAUCUGCCGCGAAGACCGGGAUAACUUGCUGAAAGGCGAGCUAAUACCGGAUGUGGUUGCUGGAGGGCAUCUUUUGGCAACCGAAGUUGGGGACCGCAAGGCCUGACACUUCGCGAUGAGCCCGCGGCCUAUCAGCUAGUUGGUGAGGUAACGGCUCACCAAGGCUAAGACGGGUAGCUGGUCUGAGAGGACGACCAGCCUCACUGGAACUGAGACACGGUCCAGACACCUACGGGUGGCAGCAGUCGAGAAUUUUUCACAAUGGGCGAAAGCCUGAUGGAGCGACGCCGCGUGGGGGAUGAAUGGCUUCGGCCCGUAAACCCCUGUCAUUUGCGAACAAACCCCGUUAUUUAAAAGAUGACGGGCUGAUUGUAGCGAAAGAGGAAGGGACGGCUAACUCUGUGCCAGCAGCCGCGGUAAUACAGAGGUCCCAAGCGUUGUUCGGAUUCACUGGGCGUAAAGGGCGCGUAGGUGGCAGGGUAAGUUCGAUGUGAAAGCUCUGAGCUUAACUCAGAAAUGGCAUUGAAUACUAUCCGGCUCGAGGGUUGGAGGGGGGACUGGAAUUCUCGGUGUAGCAGUGAAAUGCGUAGAUAUCGAGAGGAACACCAGUGGCGAAGGCGAGUCCCUGGACGACUCCUGACACUGAGGCGCGAAAGCCGGGGGAGCAAACAGGAUUAGAUACCCCUGUAGUCC